GGUUAAGCGACUAAGCGUACACGGUGGAUGCCCUGGCAGUCAGAGGCGAUGAAGGACGUGCUAAUCUGCGAAAAGCGCCGGCGAGGUGAUAUGAACCCUUGACCCGGCGAUGUCCGAAUGGGGAAACCCAGUGUGUUUCGACACACUAUCGUUAACUGAAUACAUAGGUUAACGAGGCGAACCGGGGGAACUGAAACAUCUAAGUACCCCGAGGAAAAGAAAUCAACCGAGAUUCCCCCAGUAGCGGCGAGCGAACGGGGAGCAGCCCGGAGUCUGAAUCAGCUUGUGUGUUAGUGGAACGGUCUGGAAAGUCCGACGGUACAGGGUGAUAGUCCCGUACACGAAAACACACUUGCUGUGAACUCGAAGAGUAGGGCGGGACACGUGGUAUCCUGUCUGAAUAUGGGGGGACCAUCCUCCAAGGCUAAAUACUCCUGACUGACCGAUAGUGAACCAGUACCGUGAGGGAAAGGCGAAAAGAACCCCGGCGAGGGGAGUGAAAAAGAACCUGAAACCGUGUACGUACAAGCAGUGGGAGCACCUUCGUGGUGUGACUGCGUACCUUUUGUAUAAUGGGUCAGCGACUUAUAUUCUGUAGCAAGGUUAACCGUAUAGGGGAGCCGAAGGGAAACCGAGUCUUAACUGGGCGUUAAGUUGCAGGGUAUAGACCCGAAACCCGGUGAUCUAGCCAUGGGCAGGUUGAAGGUUGGGUAACACUAACUGGAGGACCGAACCGACUAAUGUUGAAAAAUUAGCGGAUGACCUGUGGCUGGGGGUGAAAGGCCAAUCAAACCGGGAGAUAGCUGGUUCUCCCCGAAAGCUAUUUAGGUAGCGCCUCGUGAACUCAUCUUCGGGGGUAGAGCACUGUUUCGGCUAGGGGGCCAUCCCGGCUUACCAACCCGAUGCAAACUACGAAUACCGAAGAAUGUUAUCACGGGAGACACACGGCGGGUGCUAACGUCCGUCGUGAAGAGGGAAACAACCCAGACCGCCAGCUAAGGUCCCAAAGUCAUGGUUAAGUGGGAAACGAUGUGGGAAGGCACAGACAGCCAGGAUGUUGGCUUAGAAGCAGCCAUCAUUUAAAGAAAGCGUAAUAGCUCACUGGUCGAGUCGGCCUGCGCGGAAGAUGUAACGGGGCUAAACCAUGCACCGAAGCUGCGGCAGCGACACUAUGUGUUGUUGGGUAGGGGAGCGUUCUGUAAGCCGUUGAAGGUGUGCUGUGAGGCAUGCUGGAGGUAUCAGAAGUGCGAAUGCUGACAUAAGUAACGAUAAAGCGGGUGAAAAGCCCGCUCGCCGGAAGACCAAGGGUUCCUGUCCAACGUUAAUCGGGGCAGGGUGAGUCGACCCCUAAGGCGAGGCCGAAAGGCGUAGUCGAUGGGAAACAGGUUAAUAUUCCUGUACUUGGUGUUACUGCGAAGGGGGGACGGAGAAGGCUAUGUCAGCCGGGCGACGGUUGUCCCGGUUUAAGCAUGUAGGCGGAGGUUCCAGGUAAAUCCGGUACCUUUUAACGCUGAGGUGUGAUGACGAGGCACUACGGUGCUGAAGUGAUAAAUGCCCUGCUUCCAGGAAAAGCCUCUAAGCAUCAGGUAACACGAAAUCGUACCCCAAACCGACACAGGUGGUCAGGUAGAGAAUACCAAGGCGCUUGAGAGAACUCGGGUGAAGGAACUAGGCAAAAUGGUGCCGUAACUUCGGGAGAAGGCACGCUGAUAUGUAGGUGAAGCCCCUGCGGACGGAGCUGAAAUCAGUCGAAGAUACCAGCUGGCUGCAACUGUUUAUUAAAAACACAGCACUGUGCAAACACGAAAGUGGACGUAUACGGUGUGACGCCUGCCCGGUGCCGGAAGGUUAAUUGAUGGGGUUAGCGGCAACGCGAAGCUCUUGAUCGAAGCCCCGGUAAACGGCGGCCGUAACUAUAACGGUCCUAAGGUAGCGAAAUUCCUUGUCGGGUAAGUUCCGACCUGCACGAAUGGCGUAAUGAUGGCCAGGCUGUCUCCACCCGAGACUCAGUGAAAUUGAACUCGCUGUGAAGAUGCAGUGUACCCGCGGCAAGACGGAAAGACCCCGUGAACCUUUACUAUAGCUUGACACUGAACACUGGUCCUUGAUGUGUAGGAUAGGUGGGAGGCUUUGAAGCGUGGACGCCAGUCUGCGUGGAGCCGUCCUUGAAAUACCACCCUUUAAUGGCUGGUGUUCUAACGUAGACCCGUGAUCCGGGUUGCGGACAGUGUCUGGUGGGUAGUUUGACUGGGGCGGUCUCCUCCCAAAGAGUAACGGAGGAGCACGAAGGUUGGCUAAUCCUGGUCGGACAUCAGGAGGUUAGUGCAAUGGCAUAAGCCAGCUUGACUGCGAGCGUGACGGCGCGAGCAGGUGCGAAAGCAGGUCAUAGUGAUCCGGUGGUUCUGAAUGGAAGGGCCAUCGCUCAACGGAUAAAAGGUACUCCGGGGAUAACAGGCUGAUACCGCCCAAGAGUUCAUAUCGACGGCGGUGUUUGGCACCUCGAUGUCGGCUCAUCACAUCCUGGGGCUGAAGUAGGUCCCAAGGGUAUGGCUGUUCGCCAUUUAAAGUGGUACGCGAGCUGGGUUUAGAACGUCGUGAGACAGUUCGGUCCCUAUCUGCCGUGGGCGCUGGAGAAUUGAGGGGGGCUGCUCCUAGUACGAGAGGACCGGAGUGGACGCAUCACUGGUGUUCGGGUUGUCAUGCCAAUGGCACUGCCCGGUAGCUAAAUGCGGAAGAGAUAAGUGCUGAAAGCAUCUAAGCACGAAACUUGCCCCGAGAUGAGUUCUCCCUGAGACCUUGAGUCUCCUGAAGGAACGUUGAAGACGACGACGUUGAUAGGUCGGGUGUGUAAGCGCAGCGAUGCGUUGAGCUAACCGAUACUAAUGAACCGUGAGGCUUAACCUU
rnacentral:rRNA from 1 species